AUGAUAAAAAGUGGUCGGAGGCGCUGCGCCAAUCAGCCUGCAACAACGGCAAGACGGCGGAGUUUGGGCACCAGCGGUGCCAAAGGUGCGCCAGCUUCCUCAUGUAUCCCUUCGCCCUCGCCUGCCCGCCGUCUCCUUCCUGCCCCAGGUGCUGGGCUGCCAUCUCUCUACUCAGCACAACGGCCUUCUGACAGAGCCAGACCUAUAACUGAUUACAAUGAGGUCACAUUGCAUUUCAUUCAGUGUGUACAGAUGCAUAUACAGAACACCAAAUCAAAGGUUGGCAGUCCCGCACACACCAAUUCUUCUGUAGGAACCCCAUUUUCCAAUAGCAUGAGCCAAGCAGCCACUCCAACCUUUGUGAAAUCUAACUCAAUAAGCUGCGCUGAGGUUGUCAGUGUCGCUCAAGGGAGACGCUGUUUUUGGCUGACACGACGUUGA
rnacentral:rRNA from 1 species